rnacentral:rRNA from 1 species
AUGCUGACUACUCCACCCGUCCUGGCGGCUCCAACUCCCAAGGAACCUAUGCUCCUGUACAUCGCCGCCACCAGCCGGGUAGUCAGCACGGUCAUUGUAGUGGAACGCAAGGAGGAAGGCAAGGCGCUACCUAUCCAGAGACCGGUAUAUUACUUGAGCGAGGUACUGCCGACCUCCAAGCAGAACUAUCCCCACUACCAGAAGAUGUGCUAUGGUGUACACUUUACUGCCAAGAAAUUGAAGCCUUACUUUCAAGAGCAUCCAAUCACGGUGGUCUGCACGGCCCCGCUCGCCGAGAUUAUUGGCAGCCGAGAUGCUUCUGGCCGAGUGGCC